rnacentral:rRNA from 1 species
UACGUAGGGUGCAAGCGUUAAUCGGAAUUACUGGGCGUAAAGCGUGCGCAGGCGGUUAUAUAAGACAGUUGUGAAAUCCCCAGGCUCAACCUGGGAACUGCGUCUGAUACUGGAUGGCUUGAAUCCGGGAGAGGGAUGCAGAAUUCCAGGUGUAGCGGUGAAAUGCGUAGAUAUCUGGAGGAAUACCGGUGGCGAAGGCGGCAUCCUGGACCGGCAUUGACGCUGAGGAGCGAAAGCUAGGGGAGCAAACGGG